rnacentral:piRNA from 1 species
UGAGCCUGUUUGGUGGGAAGCCCAUGAU